GAACUCGUUUUUUUUUUUUCUCACUUGCAUGUCGAGUCUGCAUUUAAAGGGCUGUAGCUCACUUCACCUCUUAGUUUCUAUCGAGACCACGUGAAGGGAACGAAGUGACUUGGAAGAAUCUUUGAGGUUCUUUUCAGCCAUGCUGCGUUUGAUCACCUGCUGGAUAUUAGUGUGCGCCAUGUACUUUGCCGUGGCCCUGGCUGAGAGAGCCACCAACCCGUGGUUGAUUCUAAGCCACCUGCUACAGGGCAUCGACCCCUCGGGACCUCCCAGGCUCAUUGACGACUAUGACGACGACGAAACCUCCGACGACGUUGAAGCUUCCGACGACGACGACGUCUUCAGCUUCUUCGGGUGACUGGGUGGUCACGAGAGGAGCAAGGUCUCUGCCGCCGAGAAAUCGUCUCUAGCGUCCCUCCUCGUUCCUCACCCUCCUGCACAAAAUUGUUUAUUUUUAUGAUACUUUUGUUUUUAGACACCAAGAAAUGUCACAUUUUUUCUCGUUAAUUUAUGAGUAAGUUCUCGAUGAGAAUGGAAAGGUCAAAAUAGACAAAAAGCGUAAGACGGAAGUGAUCUAAUUUGUUAUCGUCAUUAGUUUCUUUCAGAAAUGAGUGCAAUUACUGAUAUUUAUAUCUUAUGCCUGUUAUGCGUGUGAAAUGAUACUUAGUCUCAUUCAAAAAUUUAGACUCUUUGAUAUAGUACUCGACAGGUUUUUUCUUGUUUACUUUGCAAAAUAAUUUCAACUAUAUUCUUUGAUGAAAUAAAACCAAAGAUAAGGCCCAGUCUUCCCAGAUAAAGGAAAGCUAAAUGUCUAUUUCGACGGAAACACAUGAGAUAUUGUGAUGAUCCGAUAUCCAUCAGUUCUGAGGAACUUUCGUAAAGUACCAAAUGCAGAAUAUUUUAUAUAUCCAUUUUCGUGUCUGUUAUAAUGUCUUGUGCCUGAUUGUGUUGAUGUAAAUACAACCAUGAUUAUA